rnacentral:lncRNA from 1 species
GGGAGAGGCUACAGUAAGUUCGGUGAAGUAGCGUAAACAACUGGAUAAAGUUUUUAGGAAAGCCGCAUGGAGGAUUAACAUAUUUAUAGUGUUAACAAUGGGACCUAUGAAGAUCUACAACAGAAUUUACAUCAUACAGUCUAUUCACUUGGCUUUUAAUCCGUACUCUGUUGGUUGCUUCUACAGAGAUUGCAGAUGAAACAGUCCACACAAGCUGGCUUUUAUCCAUAGAAACCAGUUAAAUUCUUCAAACGAACCUCGCAUGUUCUUAUAAAAUCUUCCCACAAAGCCUGCAUACUCUUACAAAUCCUUCAAAUAAAAUAAAAUUUAAUAAUUAAAACUAUAAAACCAGGGUAACAACAGUUAAACAGAUUUCAAAGCAAAAUUAUCUGGCAUUAUUGUGCCCUCAGACAUCCAAGGAAGGAAUUAGCAGCAUUAGCUCUCAAGCCUGGCAGGGCGAAAGCUCUUAGGCGGCAACUGCGAAUGUAGAGAAACAAGCCUUGACUUCUAUCAUCAUCGGGCACACCAUACACAGAUUAGUCUGUAUGGUUCUCGAAGUUAUUCGGCCAAAUCAAAUAACAAAUCUUACGCAGAAAAACUUACUGUUGCUUUGCACCAUAAGCACCAACUGGAAUUAAGAGAAACAAACCACAAACAGAAAUAUGUAUGGCUCAGACAUCCAAGGAAGGAAUUAACAGCACUAGCUCUCAAGCCCGGCAAGGCGAAAGCUCUUGGGCGGCUACUGCGAAUGUUGAGAAACAAGCCUUAGCUUUUUCAUCAUCGCCAUACACUAUGCAUCCAAACAAAAUUCAAAAAAAAUGGCGCAUGACAUUAUAAUCACAUUAACCGGCCCUGCGGACAGAUAGAGAAGCAGUCCCAGGUUCCUAUCAACACGUGAAACGUUAAAAAAAACUUCGUUUCGGCCCAAUCAUAGCAUCUCUGGUCAAUGCCGUGGUUAACAGAGACGUGGCAUCAGGCCCAAAUUCCAUUUCAUUACAGUUCACAAACUGAAAGGUAUUGAAUAGUUGCUCUAAUCCCUCAG